rnacentral:rRNA from 13 species
UACGGUGGAUGCCUUGGCAGCCAGAGGCGAUGAAGGACGUGAUAGCCUGCGAUAAGCGUUGGCGAGGUGGCAAAUACCCUGCGACCCAACGAUUUCCGAAUGGGGAAACCCACUCACCAUCAGGUGAGUAUCUAUAGGCCAAUACAUAACCUAUAGAGGCAAACCCGGGGAACUGAAACAUCUAAGUACCCGGAGGAAAAGAAAUCAACCGAGAUUCCGAGAGUAGUGGCGAGCGAAAUUGGAACAGCCUGUA